CUGCCGGCGACCGGCGCACGGGUGAGUAACACGUAUGCAACCUGCCCCUGUCAGGGGGACAACCCGCCGAAAGGCGGGCUAAACCCGCGUACAUGCCACCGGGGCAUCCCGGAGGCAGGAAAGGCUUCGGCCGGACAGGGAUGGGCAUGCGGCGCAUUAGGCAGUAGGCGGGGUAACGGCCCACCUAACCGACGAUGCGUAGGGGUUCUGAGAGGAAGGUCCCCCACACUGGUACUGAGACACGGACCAGACUCCUACGGAAGGCAGCAG
rnacentral:rRNA from 1 species